rnacentral:rRNA from 1 species
AUGCGGCGGGAAGAAGUGGCAUUUAGAAGUGUUGCUGACUUUACAUUUAGGUUUCGGCAUAACAAAGAUUGCACUGUCUUUUCGCACUUAGGCGCACAACGUGACGUUGGUAAUGAUUCUACUACGGUGCUGCAAAUUCGCAAGCUGAUCCUAAGUAAUCGUUGUUGUUCAUUGGAUUCCUCCGUAAUUACUUCGUUAGGAUUGAAGAAUUGCAGCAAUUCUUCCUGA